rnacentral:rRNA from 1 species
UGGGGAAUAUUGCACAAUGGGGGAAACCCUGAUGCAGCCAUGCCGCGUGUGUGAAGAAGGCCUUCGGGUUGUAAAGCACUUUCAGUUGUGAGGAAAAGUUAGUAGUUAAUACCUGCUAGCCGUGACGUUAACAACAGAAGAAGCACCGGCUAACUCCGUGCCAGCAGCCGCGGUAAUACGGAGGGUGCGAGCGUUAAUCGGAAUUACUGGGCGUAAAGCGCACGCAGGCGGUUUGUUAAGCUAGAUGUGAAAGCCCCGGGCUCAACCUGGGAUGGUCAUUUAGAACUGGCAGACUAGAGUCUUGGAGAGGGGAGUGGAAUUCCAGGUGUAGCGGUGAAAUGCGUAGAUAUCUGGAGGAACAUCAGUGGCGAAGGCGACUCCCUGGCCAAAGACUGACGCUCAUGUGCGAAAGUGUGGGUAGCGAACAGGAUUAGAUACCCUGGUAGUCCACACCGUAAACGCUGUCUACUAGCUGUGUGUGCCUUUAAGGCGUGCGUAGCGAAGCUAACGCGCUAAGUAGACCGCCUGGGGAGUACGGCCGCGAGGUUA